AUUGAACGCUGGCGGCAGGCUUAACACAUGCAAGUCGAGCGGGGUGAUGGUGCUUGCACUAUCACUUAGCGGCGGACGGGUGAGUAAUGCUUAGGAAUCUGCCUAUUAGUGGGGGACAACAUCUCGAAAGGGAUGCUAAUACCGCAUACGUCCUACGGGAGAAAGCAGGGGAUCACUUGUGACCUUGCGCUAAUAGAUGAGCCUAAGUCGGAUUAGCUAGUUGGUGGGGUAAAGGCCUACCAAGGCGACGAUCUGUAGCGGGUCUGAGAGGCUGAUCCGCCACACUGGGACUGAGACACGGCCCAGAGUCCUACGGGAGGCAGCAGUGGGGAAUAUUGGACAAUGGGGGGAACCCGGAUCCAGCCAUGCCGCGUGUGUGAAGAAGGCCUUAUGGUUGUAAAGCACUUUAAGCGAGGAGGAGGCUACUGAGACUAAUACUCUUGGAUAGUGGACGUUACUCGCAGAAUAAGCACCGGCUACUCUGUGCCAGCCGCCGCAGUAACAC
rnacentral:rRNA from 1 species